CUAUCGAGAAGGCAAAGGCUUUCUGGAGGUGUAUAGACCCUCCUCCGGAACAGAAGUCUACAUUAGCCGUCAGUGGAAUAAACCACCGUCUAAAAACGGCAUCUCAAGUUGGAGAAGGCAAGAGAUUAGUUGGUAUCUAUCAGACACACAACUUCCCUUGAAAUAGAAGGUGAUCCAAGACUUAAAACACAUUUGGAGGAUUCCCAGAAAAGGAAAGAACAGGAACAAGCUGACUAUGUGCAAAAAAU